GAGAGAGAGAGAGAAUCCUAAGCAGACUCCUCAUUGUCAGUGAAGAGUCUGACUUGGGGCUCAAUUUCAUGGUUCAGGAGAUUAUGAUCUGAGCUGAAAUCAAGAGUGGGACGCUUAACCGAAAGAGCCACCCAGGUGCCCUGAAAAUAUAUGUCUCUUAUUAAGCUACCCCAUGCAUGGCACUUUAUUAUGGCAACCCUAGCAAACAAAUAGAUCUCCACGUUGUCACCCCUGUCACCAGCAAAUGAGCCUCUCUGCCUCUUUCCAAGGAAGAAGAGCCCAUGCAACAACGAGUUGUUGUACGGUAACCAGUAGGAUAUCAGGCACUGUGUGUAGGCACAGGAGCUACAAAGGAAAGUGACAUCACGAUGUGUGUUCUUUUCUUUCUUAAUUCCCCACCUAUCCAGGAAUAGCAAAUUCAAGCUAGGAAAGCCAUAUGAAAUGUAAGGCAGUUCUGGCCA